GGAGGAGUGGCCGAGUGGUUGAAGGCAGCGGUCUUGAAAACCGCGAGACGAGAGUCUCGGGGGUUCGAAUCCCUCCUCCUCCG
rnacentral:tRNA from 1 species